rnacentral:rRNA from 1 species
UACAGAGGUCUCAAGCGUUGUUCGGAUUCAUUGGGCGUAAAGGGUGCGUAGGCGGCGCGGUAAGUCGGGUGUGAAAUCUCAGGGCUUAACUCCGAAACUGCAUUCGAUACUGCCGUGCUUGAGGACUGGAGAGGAGACUGGAAUUUACGGUGUAGCGGUGAAAUGCGUAGAUAUCGUAAGGAAGACCAGUGGCGAAGGCGGGUCUCUGGACAGUUCCUGACGCUGAGGCACGAAGGCCAGGGGAGCAAACGGG